rnacentral:rRNA from 1 species
AUUAUAAUAUUAGUAUAUUUAGUAGUAAGUGUAAUGCAUGAAACUAAAAUUAAUUGGCGGCUUUUUAAAUAUAUUAGAGAAACUUAUUCUUUAAAGGAGUUGACACCAGUAUCUUACUUUUUUUUGUAUUAGUUAUAACAUUUCAUAUACCUCUAUUUUUUAAUUAUUAAUUUAAUUACAAAUUGUCUAAUUAUUAUUAGAUAAAUUUUAGGGAAAGGUGUGGAUUAUAAAAAAGAAUGAAAUAAGUUUCAUUAAUUAAAAUUUAAUAAUUUAUUUUUGUAAUAAAAAUAAAAAAUAGAAUUUAAAAGUAAUAUUAGUAUAUUAUUCUAAUUUGAAUUAAUUUUUAGAAGUGUACAUAUUGCCCGUCACUCUCUUAUUAGAG